rnacentral:rRNA from 1 species
UACAGAGGUCCCAAGCGUUGUUCGGAUUCAUUGGGCGUAAAGGGCUCGUAGGCGGCCAACUAAGUCAGACGUGAAAUCCCUCGGCUUAACCGGGGAACUGCGUCUGAUACUGGAUGGCUUGAGUUCGGGAGAGGGAUGCGGAAUUCCAGGUGUAGCGGUGAAAUGCGUAGAUAUCUGGAGGAACACCGGUGGCGAAGGCGGCAUCCUGGACCGACACUGACGCUGAGGAGCGAAAGCCAGGGGAGCAAACGGG